rnacentral:snoRNA from 1 species
UGCAUCUAUCUGACAGACGUGGAUCAGUUUAUGUCUGCUUCUAAGGUUUCCAUUAUAGAUGCAAGAAAAAAGAUCCUCACACUUACUGUCUGUCUGGUUUGGGCAGUCAAGAUUGAAUGGGGGAAUACAGGA